rnacentral:rRNA from 1 species
UCGGGAAUUUUGGGCAAUGGGCGAAAGCCUGACCCAGCAACGCCGCGUGAAGGAUGAAGUAUUUCGGUAUGUAAACUUCGAAAGAAUAGGAAGAAUAAAUGACGGUACUAUUUAUAAGGUCCGGCUAACUACGUGCCAGCAGCCGCGGUAAUACGUAGGGACCAAGCGUUGUUCGGAUUUACUGGGCGUAAAGGGCGCGUAGGCGGCAAUUCAAGUCAUCUGUGAAAUCUCCGGGCUUAACUCGGAACGGUCAGAUGAUACUGCUUUGCUAGAGUGCAGAAGGGGCAAUCGGAAUUCUUGGUGUAGCGGUGAAAUGCGUAGAUAUCAAGAGGAACACCUGAGGUGAAGACGGGUUGCUGGGCUGACACUGACGCUGAGGCGCGAAAGCCAGGGGAGCAAACGGGAUUAGAUACCCAAGUAGUCCUG